rnacentral:tRNA from 1 species
UCCCAUAUUGUCUAGUGGUUAGGAUACCUGGCUCUCACCCGGGAGGCCCGGGUUCAAUUCCCGGUAUGGGAA